rnacentral:rRNA from 1 species
GACGAACGCUGGCGGCGUGCUUAACACAUGCAAGUCGAACGGAAAGGCCCUGCUUUUGUGGGGUGCUCGAGUGGCGAACGGGUGAGUAACACGUGAGUAACCUGCCCUUGACUUUGGGAUAACUUCAGGAAACUGGGGCUAAUACCGGAUAGGAGCUCCUGCUGCAUGGUGGGGGUUGGAAAGUUUCGGCGGUUGGGGAUGGACUCGCGGCUUAUCAGCUUGUUGGUUGGGCAGUGGCUUACCAAGGCUUUGACGGGUAGCCGGCCUGAGAGGGUGAGCGGACAGAGUGGAAGUAUGGUUCGGCCCAGACUCCUACCGGGGACAGCAGUCGGGAAUAGUGCAGAACGGGCGGGGCCCGGAUGAAGCAGCGGCGCGAACGGAAUGAGGACGGUCAGGUUGUAACCCGCGUGAGCGUGUCACGGUGCGUUGGGGGGCAUGGUGGGAAAGUAGGCACCAGCUGGCUACGUG